CCUACGGGUGGCAGCAGUAGGGAAUUUUCGGCAAUGGGGGGAACCCUGACCGAGCAACGCCGCGUGAACGAAGAAGUUAUUCGUAAUGUAAAGUUCUUUUAACAGGGAAGAAAGAGAAAUUUGACGGUACCUGAAGAAUAAGCUCCGGCUAACUACGUGCCAGCAGCCGCGGUAGUACGUAGGGAGCGAGCGUUAUCAGGAAUUAUUGGGCGUAAAGGGUGGGUAGAUGGCAUAGUAAGUGUUUGUGAAAGAUGCGGGGCUAAACCCAGUAGGGCAAAAGAUACUGCAAGGCUAGAGUAUGGCAGAGGCAAGUGGAACUACAUGUGUAGCGGUAAAAUGCGUAGAUAUAUGGAAGAACACCAGUGGCGAAGGCGGCUUGCUGGGUCGAUACUGACAUUGAGGCACGAAAGCGUGGGGAGCAAACAGGAUUAGAUACCCCAGUAGUC
rnacentral:rRNA from 1 species